AGUGAACGCUGGCGGUAGGCCUAACACAUGCAAGUCGAACGGCAGCACAGUAAGAGCUUGCUCGUACGGGUGGCGAGUGGCGGACGGGUGAGGAAUACAUCGGAAUCUACUUUUUCGUGGGGGAGAACGUAGGGAAACUUACGCUAAUACCGCAUACGACCUACGGGUGAAAGCAGGGGAUCUUCGGACCUUGCGCGAUUGAAUGAGCCGAUGUCGGAUUAGCUAGUUGGCGGGGUAAAGGCCCACCAAGGCGACGAUCCGUAGCUGGUCUGAGAGGAUGAUCAGCCACACUGGAACUGAGACACGGUCCAGACUCCUACGGGAGGCAGCAGUGGGGAAUAUUGGACAAUGGGCGCAAGCCUGAUCCAGCCAUACCGCGUGGGUGAAGAAGGCCUUCGGGUUGUAAAGCCCUUUUGUUGGGAAAGAAAAGCAGCAGGUUAAUACCCCGCUGUUCUGACGGUACCCAAAGAAUAAGCACCGGCUAACUUCGUG
rnacentral:rRNA from 1 species